AAAGUCCCGCAAGGGAUCAGUAGAGUGGCAAACGGGUGAGUAACACGUGGGUGACCUGCCUUCGAGUGGGGGAUAACGUCCCGAAAGGGACGCUAAUACCGCAUAACAUCCUGCCUUUGAAGAGGUGGAGAUCAAAGCUGGGGAUCGCAAGACCUAGCGCUGGAAGAGGGGCCCGCGCCUGAUUAGCUAGUUGGUGAGGUAACGGCUCACCAAGGCGACGAUCAGUAUCCGGCCUGAGAGGGCGGACGGACACACUGGGACUGAGACACGGCCCAGACUCCUACGGGAGGCAGCAGUGGGGAAUUGUUCGCAAUGGGCGCAAGCCUGACGACGCAACGCCGCGUGGAGGAUGAAGACCUUCGGGUCGUAAACUCCUUUCGAUCGAGACGAAUGGCCUCCGGGUGAACAGUCCGGAGGAGUGACGGUACCGAGAGAAGAAGCCCCGGCUAACUCCGUGCCAGCAGCCGCGGUAAUACGGGGGGGGCAAGCGUUGUUCGGAAUUACUGGGCGUAAAGGGCUCGUAGGCGGCCAACUAAGUCAGACGUGAAAUCCCUCGGCUUAACCGGGGAACUGCGUCUGAUACUGGAUGGCUUGAGAUUGGGAGAGGGAUGCGGAAUUCCAGGUGUAGCGGUGAAAUGCGUAGAUAUCUGGAGGAACACCGGUGGCGAAGGCGGCAUCCUGGACCAACACUGACGCUGAGGAGCGAAAGCCAGGGGAGCAAACGGGAUUAGAUACCCCGGUAGUCCUGGCCCUAAACGAUGAAUGCUUGGUGUGGCGGGUAUCGAUCCCUGCCGUGCCGAAGCUAACGCAUUAAGCAUUCCGCCUGGGGAGUACGGUCGCAAGGCUG
rnacentral:rRNA from 1 species